UACGAGGGGGGCGAGCGUUGUUCGGAAUUAUUGGGCGUAAAGGGUGCGUAGGCGGUUCCGCAAGUCCUGUGUGAAAUCUUCGGGCUCAACUCGAAGUCUGCACGGGAAACUGGCGGGCUUGAGUGUGGGAGAGGUGAGUGGAAUUCCCCGGUGUAGCGGUGAAAUGCGUAGAGAUGCGGAGGAACACCGAUGGCGAAGGCAGCCCCCCUGGGCUAACACUGACGCUCAGGCACGAAAGCGUGGGGAGCAAACAGG
rnacentral:rRNA from 1 species